ACAAUUGGACUUUAUGUAACUUGAUUUUUUGCCUCAUUGCUCCUGCUGCUUCUCUGCACUUGAUCUUAUGAAAUGGUUUCCUUUAAGCCUGCGCUGUGCUCAGACUUAGGCUGGCCUAUAGGAUCCUAUUCAUUUUACUUCCUUCACUUUUAGUUUUAGCUCAUGAUUUUAGACAGUAAAGUGACAAAUUAUGCUUGUCUCCCCAGAAAAAAAGUGGACUUGUAAGAACAGAAAGGUCUUUGGCAACAGAGGGUUAGUGGGGCAUAGAGGGGAGUCUGGGGUGUUAGGGAGUUAACAUCUAAUUUUAAUUACAGUGGCCGAAAUAGGAAAUGUCGUUUAUCUCUAGCUUGGAUUUGGUUAUUGACAAAAGUCAUCAACCAGACAGCAGAAUUAAGAGGUUUGUAGCUCGCUUUACUUUGGAUUCUAUUGGGACUUUUUCUUUAUUCAAUGUUGGUAUGUUUUGAAGAGUAGCUUUAACUCGUUAAUUUUCCAGCCCUAAAAGUUUGUACUUUUCAUUGGGCAGAUACACAAGGAUUCUUAUAAAUUGCUUAAAUGAGGCUUUUAAAAAAUUACUUUGAUGUUUCACAAAGCUGAGAGUCAGAUCUUGCUAAACUUGGGGUGGGAGGGUUUGCUGAGGAAACUUCAGAGUGAAGUUGUAUGAAGAGAAUGCUAGCAGGGAAUUCGGUCUCCUUUACCAGCAAUUUGCUACAGGUGAUAGUGGAGGAGGGUAGGAGAGAGUCCUUCUGGCAGCCAAGGAAAGGGGAGCCUGGGAGUGGAGUAGGACCAGCCGCUUGCCAGAGUCUGGUGGAAGUGGAGCCCAGUAAGCAGCAGUGUUCUUCAGAACUUGGGGCUGGAGGGUGAAUAUUUAGGCAUGGAGCUGCUUUUUUUAGGGGGGCUGGAAAGAGGGAGUGUGAGAGAGGAAGUGGAUGAAGAAUAUCCUUUAUAAAAGCAGAACAGAUUUGAAAGAGAUAUUUAAUGUGGAACAGUGAAAGAAGUGAUUUGACCUAAUGUGAUGGGCCAGAUUAUAACCUCUCAACUGAAGUUUUAUCUAUCCCUGUGCUCUGCUAAAAGUUGCAAACCAUGAAGAAUUUGAUAUAAGAUAGUGCUCAACAAUUAUUUUAUUUUUCUGCUUAAAAAAUAAACUUAUAGUAGCAAGAUUAAGCAUUAAUCUAAAAUCUGUCUAGCUUUUGGAAAUGCCAGACAAUUUUAUCUAGUGGUUUAUCUCUCCAGUGGGAAUGGAUUUGAAUAACCUUUAACCUAGGGUGAGGGUCUUCUAAUCUGUUUUUCUUCUUGUUCUUGGUUGUCUGUUAUUUUUAUUGAUGACAUCUGACUCAAUAAGCAGCCUUUUCUCCUCCACAGAGUUGUUCUCAGUGCACCAAACUUCUGAGCUGGUUCUCAGGACCUCUUUCCUGAGAUCUUUCCCCAUCACCUCUGCCAUCCCUGUUUCCCAGCCAUGUGGCUCCUCUUCUCACUUUUCUGAUACCCAGCAGUCUUCCUGUUUCCAGCCUCUUCAUCAGGGCACGAGAAUUGGAGCUACUGGGAGAGUUUUCAGCUCUGGACGAUUUAUUAUGGCUGACAUUGGCUAAAUGUUCUUAGUGUCCUGCUGUCUUUUGCAUAGAAUUGGAGGAGUUUGGUAGUAGGGUAAAUCUGUAAGUAUUCUAAUCAACUGGGAGAGAUAGUCAUCUCAUAUUUUCCUUAGUUGUCAACAUAGCCAAGCUAAUCAUUCACAAUUCAUAGGGAGGGGAGGGCAAAGGUUAUUUUUCAUUUUUGCUGCAGAAGAUGAGAAAAUUUGCAGGUGCUAGUGUUCUUGGUUCAAAACUUCCUUGGUAGAAAUCUUCACAUGGUCAUGCUUCGCAAAUCCUUCUGAUCUAGAGACUUGCCACAUUCUCUUCUAUUUACCAGAAUUAUUAACUCAUUUCUUUGGUAUUCUCAACUGACUUGAAACUUCAGAAGGGUGUCAGCAUCCAAAAGCACACGCCUGAUUGGGCAUGGGCGCGAAGGUCAGCAGACCUGUGUUCUAUUCUUGGCCUUACCGGUAACUAUAGUACUUGAUGAUCUCUUUUAACUGUGCAGUCUGCUUUGAGCUGUUCUUUGGGAAGUUCAGGUCAAAUCCUGACAAGGACUGGGAAAUUUUUUUCUCUAAAAUGGUGUUUCUUUGCAUGAGAAUUUUAUAGGUGCUACAAUCUUUGUAAGAUAUUUGCACCUCUUUGUCUUUUGCUGGGUCUGACAGCAAAGUGAUGGUUCUUGCCUCCUCUGCCACUGUGGGGCCUUAGGCAGAUUAUUCAACCUCUCUAUCCUUUAAUGUCUGUGUCUGUAAAAUGAAGUGAUCUUUUUACCCCUUAGAAUUGUUUUGAGAACUUAGAUGAGAUAACGUCUAUAAAGAGUACAUAAAAACACUUGAAAAUGAUUGUUUUCCCCAUCUACCCCAAAUACUACAUAAAGUAGCUAAAUGCUAUGAAAAGUACAGAAUUAUUUUCUACUUGUAAACAUACUGAACUUACAUAAAAAGAUAUUACCUAUUUUUCAUUAACCUGUUUUGCCAAAAACCCUUUCAGUUGAAAAACUGGGAAGGGGGGAUGAAGGGCAGUGCCUCGUUUUAAGGAUGUAUUUCCUCUGUCUUGAAGUUUUGUUGAAGAGACUUCCAUUCUUACCAGUUCAUUCCAUGUGGUCAUGCAGACAAAGGUUCCUGGUGGGCAUAGACAUAAACAGCUUUCCUAGCUCUUCUGGUUUCUGGUGUUUAUUAGACAGGAGCUAAAUCUGGCUUUUCUCUGGACACUGCUGCCCACUGAAGUGGGAAUGGUGGCUGUGAUUGCGGAAAACCAACUGUUUAUAGAGGUUUAGUUGAGUGGGUAUUACGUGUUAACCUCAUGGUACCCAAGAGAAUAACUGCAAGUCAGAUACUGUGGAAUCAUGGUUGUACAAAUAUCCCAUAGUUUACAUAUGAUCUUUCUCCCUAUUCUCCCUUUCUCUAUAACCAUUUGUCUCCCUCAAUAUGCUUACAAGGUGUAUAGUUAUCUUUAGUAGUAAAAUAUAUUAAGAAAUAUUUGCUGAGCAUCUCAGAUUCCCCUUGGCUCUAUACCUCUUCUCCCUCAAGACACUGUUUGGCCUAAACCACAUCAGAGUCUUCGUGUUAGUACAUUUGUAUAAAUCAAUGUGAGUGUCCCAUGACUGAGCCUCUGACAAGAUGGUGGGGAACCAGGAUUCUUGGGUUCUGCUUUAAGCACUGCCAUGUAGUCGUUGGGUCGAUGAAUUACAUGACUUCUGAUGUUAAGGUAAUACCUGAAAAAAUAGGAGACCUAAUAGAGUUGAAACUUAAUUACCAGGAAGGGAACCCAUGUUAUGAAAAAUAGAAAAUCAUGGGUGUUCCAAAAAGAACUUUUCAUUUGAUUUUUAUACACAGUGCAGUUUGCUUCAAAAUCAUGAGAUAAUUACUCAGGUGACAGUGACGAAUGUCUUCUUUUACCCUGAGAAUAUGUCUGUGUUGUUUGAAUGAAAGACUUUCCAUGUCUGACACCUGGAUGAUUGUCCCUUAAAUCCUGGCUGGCCUUUGUGUAUAGCUCUGUGUACUGUUAUUCAGACAAAUUCAGCUAGCAUUGGAUCAUAGACAAGGGAGCACUUGCUCAAUGACCUGUCUCAGAUACGGCUAACAUUAGCGAGAAGACAGUUUGAUCUGCCCCAACUUGGUAGAGAGAAGAGGUAUCUGCAAAGUGUUAGCCUCUGGAGGGAGAACGUGAAAAGGCGCACACCCUGACUGUCUUUCUUAUCUCUGUAGUUUUAUUUUUGAGCACUUAGCCCAAAAGAGAUUAAGCUCAUGUUACUUGUAAACCCAGUUGCUGGUGCAUUAGUAUUUACUGUACUAGAAACUCAUUUUCACCCACUUCCAUUUUCAGAGCUAGACAUUCUUUUUGUGCCAACUGAGCAGUGUGAUGGGUGGAAUAUCUAUAAAGAGAAACAAGGUGCUAUCCGUGCCCCACAGGGAGCUGGCGUUACAGUGGGGAGGAUGAACCAUUGACAUGCCUGUCACAUUUGGCAGUAUGUGCUAAGGGCCCUGGUGGAGGUUCAGACCCCACAAAGUGAGUUCAGAGGCUGGGGACUUUUGGAAGGCUAAUUGGAGGGCGUGGUGUCUGAACUGAGCUUUGAAGGAAGGAUAUGUUUUUUGGACAGGCCACGUUGAGAGGGUGGAGGAAAAGUGACUUUCCAGCUGUAGGAAAUAUCAUGAGUAGAGGCAUGAAGACAGGAAAUUGCAAAACGUGCCCAGCAAGUAUAUUAGUGUGCUUGGAGAGAAGGUUGCAUGAGCUGAUACAGGAGGAUUUAGGCCAAAUUUAUGGCUUGGAGGUAGACUUUGGGGAACCUUGCACUCUCUCCAAAGAGUGUGUUUGGGGACCCAUGGAAGUCUCUUAAGAAGAGAUGUGAGAGCAUCUGGGCUGAGCUAUGGGAGUGUUCUUGAACAGUAUGAACAAGAUGGAGACCAGAGAGGAGGUUCUCGUAAUAAUUCAGUCUUGUGGUAAGACAGAAAAUGGGGAGUUGAAAGUGAUUUAUGGAAAUGGAAGAGUGCCUUUUCUCUUGAUUUUCUCUACUGAAAAGGUGUCACUUUUUUUGAAUGGGGCCAAGAGCUCAGGGAAGGGGCAACUGGUUUGAUGUUUUGAGUGAUAGGAUGAAAAGUAUUAGAGAUUUAAAAUUUUAAUUUAAGAAAUAACAUGACAAUCAACCACCUUUCUCAGCCACAUUUCUGGGAGUGAAUUUUAUUAAAUAUGUACAUAACUACUGAAUAUUCAUUGUUCAUUUCUUUAGGCAAAAUGUCUUUUGCAUAGAGCAUAUUCCUCCAGCAAAGAAUGACUGCUGCUGAGAAAGGGCUCUAAGACUGAGUAAUCAAGAUUCUGUUAAUAUUAAGAGGUAAAAAUGACUCUAGCAUUCAAUAUGAGCUUUCAGCAUGAAGUUUUAUUUAACUUCAGAUUAUAACCUUAGAUAAACAAUUUUCUAGCCUCAUUAAUGCUUAAUCUAAUGUUACAUAACAAAGUCUGAACUUCCUGAAUAGGCUAGUACUAUUGAGGAUACGAAUAUGUUAUAGCCACAUGACAAUACUUGAGAAAGUCUCUGGUUUUAAACCCAGUAUCUCUCCUGCAAAUGCUCCCUGCUCAUAGUGUGGGCCUCCUACCAUCAUUGUCAUCAUCACCUGGAGCUUAUUAAAAUUACAGAUUCUUGAGCUCCUGUCCAUUCCUAUUGAACCAGAAUCUGCAUUUUAAUCAGUCCCCACAGGUGAUCUGAAUGCACAGUAAAGUGUAGGAAGCACUGCUGUUUACAGUAAUGCCGACUUGCAGAACCCUGCGCCUGUGUGUCACAUCCAUUCUUGAUAGAACAUUGUUUUUAUUCUGUUAAAAGUUGUCCAUUGUUUCAGUGUUAGGACUAUUAGGGCUUGAUUUUAUUUUUCAAAUUGUUAUAAAGUAUUUCAAACAUAGAGAAAAGUCUCUGGGGCUGUUUUCAUUAUCAGUAAUAAAAUUUCAUAGUAUAGCUUCCUUCUUCCCAUCUCACACUCCCAUUUUUUCCUAGAAACACAUUGUAACUCCUGUCGUAUUUCAUAGAAAAACUGUUGUCCUCUUUAUGGUGUGGCAUGCAGUCAUAGUAUGUGAGUUAGGCUGAGCUAGACUCUAUUUGUUUCUAAAAGAAACCUGUUUAUUUGAAAGGAUGGCCUUCUCUUAUUAAUAUGAAGUUUACAUAUUUAAUAUUCACUGUUUCUUUCACUGGCAUUCUCAUAUGAAGUAGAAAUAUAAAUACUUUGAGAGGUUGGCAAGAUUGGGUACAAGGAGAGACUUGUGCCGUACCUUUUCUCUUAAUAACUUGUCCUCGAGUCCAUGCAGAUAGAGUUGGAAUUUUCCAUUCAGGCCAGAAGUGAUUACCGAUAGAAGCAGACAUGGCACUUUGGCAGCAAGUCCCGUGAUCCUUUAGUUAUUCCCAUGCAGAGGGUUUGCUCCCAUUAAAAUGGAGUAGAGACUAGAAUCUAUUCAUUGUGGUAGUCUAAACUGUGUGGAUAUUUGACUGGGUAGUGUUCCAGUCUUGACUAGGGUAAUCUAAAAGAGAUUGGCUGAUUCCCUUGUAUAAGUGAAGCAGAUAAGAAAUUUGCAUGUAAGAAAGUUUUGGUGGUGAUGUUGGGGGAAAAAAGGAAGUCUUAAAUUAGGUGACUUUUUAAACCAAGGGCCUUGGAUAUUUGCUCUUCUCAGUGUAUAUGUCUUUGGCCUGUCCUUGGCCUUAUCCUUCCUAUUAGAAGUGGUGGGAAGGGCGUGAGGGUGCUUCAGUUGUGCAAUGUAUUACUUGUAGAAACUGCACGCAAAUGAAAAAGGCCUUGGACUUGUAAAGUGUUAUUGAACACAGUGCUGUUUAUAUGGAUCAGUUAUUUAUUUAGCUCUUGGAAUUUGCUAAUGUGUAUUUCUUAUGAUUUGGCUUCAUCUUGGUUACCUGAUGACUUCUAGAUGGAGACAUUUAUGACUUUGAAGCCUAGAUAGACUCGCCCAUUUUAUUAGCUAGUAAAACAAAUGAAAGGUUUGAAAUGGUUUUUAAAAAGACUUAUAAGUUGUGAUUACUGUAGUUAUAUUCAAUGUGUUUAUCCACUUGGAGCUCAUAUUUUAUAUCAUAAAUAAUUACUUUUUUAGCCUUGUAUGAUCUGUGAACCCAUUCUAACUUUGAAAAUACAGUUUGCUGAUGUUUUAAAAAAUACAUCUAGUCUGUUAAAAACUGACAUUAAAAGUGUUUUAAAAUGUGUCUGAAAUCAUAA